rnacentral:tmRNA from 1 species
GGGGAUGAUCGGUUUCGACAUCGCCUGCGAAACUGCGAGAAGCGGGCCGAGGAUGCAGGGUUAUCUCGUAAACGAUCUCUGCGAACCAAUAGUUGCCGAUGCAAAGCGCAACGACUUCGCCCUCGCUGCCUAAGCGAGCCCGAUAGUCCGUCAGACCGUGGGUGAUCCCGCCACGGACCCUGGCGUCAUCUAGGGAUCUAGCUGUGUGACGGGGUCUCGACGUCACAUGGGACUUUUCUGAGACUGGGCUCGUCGACUUA